rnacentral:rRNA from 1 species
CGUUCCCAUACCGAACACGGAAGUUAAGCUCUCUAGCGCCGAUGGUAGUUGGGACCUUGUCCCUGUGAGAGUAGGACGUUGCCAGGC